GACGAACGCUGGCGGCGUGCCUAAUACAUGCAAGUAGGACGCAGUUGCGAACGGGUGAGUAACGCGUAGGUAACUGCCUAUUAGAGGGGGAUAACUAUUGGAAACGAUAGCUAAUACCGCAUACUAGUAGAUGGACCUGCGUUGUAUUAGCUAGUAGGUAGGGUAAUGGCCUACCUAGGCGACGAUACAUAGCCGACCUGAGAGGGUGAUCGGCCACACCGGGAAUGGGAAAAGGCCCAGAAUCCUACGGGAGGCAGCAGUAGGGAAUCUUCGGAAAUGGGGGGAAACCUGACCGAGCAACGCCGCGUGAGGGAAGAAGGUUUUCGGAUCGUAAAGCUCUGUUGUUAAGGAAGCGGUACUUAAACAGAAAGGGACGGCUAACUACGUGCCAGCCGCCGCGGUAAUUC
rnacentral:rRNA from 1 species